UACGUAGGGGGCAAGCGUUGUCCGGAUUCAUUGGGCGUACAGAGCGUGUAAGCGGCCAGGUAGGUCGGUUGUGAAAACUGGAGGCUCAACCUUCAGAGGUCGACCGAAACCAUCUGGCUAGAGUCCGGGAGAGGAGAGUGGAAUUCCUGGUGUAGCGGUGAAAUGCGCAGAUAUCAGGAAGAACACCCGUGGCGAAAGCGGCUCUCUGGAACGGUACUGACGCUGAGACGCGAAAGCGUGGGGAGCGAACAGG
rnacentral:rRNA from 1 species